GGGUAAAGCUGUCUAUUUGCGUUCCUAUCUGAAAGUACCAGGGACUGGGUAAGAAAAACCACAGGACCCUGGGUGUCUGUUUUUCCCUCACUGAACCUGUAGCUGGAGUGGCCCCCCAAACCGUGGCAGAGUAAUUCCCACAAAGGAGUGGCCUCAAAUUUCCCAAGAUAGGGUUGGUUGGGAUUUGUAAGAAAGAAGCACUAACUGCCAGGGUGAUGGGUCCACAGCAUUUAUUAGGAAACUGGUUAUAGAGGGCUGCAGUUUAUCUUCACAAGGGGCAGCAAGAGGUGGGGAUAGGACUGGGGCUGUAGCUCAGUGGCAGAGUGCUUGCCUAGCACGUGAGAGACUGGGUUCCGUCAGCACCGCAUAAAAAAGUAAAGGCAUGCUGUCCUUCAACUACAAAAAAGCGAGGCAGGAUGUCUGCAACAGGGCUGUGGUGUGCAGUUACACAGGCACGCAGUGUUAGGGGAACUGCUUCAACCAGAGCCGCUUCCUUCGGGGUUUGGGCAACACCCUCAACACUGACGGAACUUCGCGCCUGGGGUCCGUUCGGUUAGGGGCGCCCCCACGCGCCGUGGGCGGGCUUGGGCGCAGUCACCGCCGCCACCGGAGCUCGUGGGACACUCUGGGUCCUAGUGUAGUGUACACAGUGGCUUUCUUGAUGACCGCUGU
rnacentral:lncRNA from 1 species